rnacentral:rRNA from 1 species
GACGAACGCUGGCGGCGCGCCUAACACAUGCAAGUCGAGCGAUGAACAUUGAAUGAUCCCUUCGGGGUGAUUUAGAUCGGAUUAGCGGCGAACGGGUGAGUAACGCGUGAGGAACCUGCCUCGUACAACGGGAUAGCCUCGGGAAACCGGGAUUAAUACCGUAUAAGACUCCGACAUCUCCUGUUGAUGAAGUCAAAGCGUUAGCGGUAAGAGAUGGCCUCGCGUCUGAUUAGCUUGUUGGCGGGGUAACGGCCCACCAAGGCGACGAUCAGUAACCGGCCUGAGAGGGUGAACGGUCACAUUGGAACUGAGACACGGUCCAAACUCCUACGGGAGGCAGCAGUGGGGAAUCUUGCACAAUGGGGGCAACCCUGAUGCAGCGACGCCGCGUGAGCGAUGAAGGUUUUCGAAUCGUAAAGCUCUGUCCUAUGGGAAGAUAAUGACGGUACCAUGGGAGGAAGCCCCGGCUAACUACGUGCCAGCCGCCGCGGUAA